UACGAGGGGGGCGAGCGUUGUUCGGAAUUAUUGGGCGUAAAGGGUGCGUAGGCGGUUUGGUAAGUCUUGUGUGAAAUCUUCGGGCUCAACUCGAAGUCUGCACGAGAAACUGCCGGGCUUGAGUAUGGGAGAGGUGAGUGGAAUUCCCGGUGUAGCGGUGAAAUGCGCAGAUAUCGGGAGGAACACCAAUGGCGAAGGCAGCUCGCUGGGACGGUACUGACGCUGAGACGCGAAAGCGUGGGGAGCAAACAGG
rnacentral:rRNA from 1 species